rnacentral:misc_RNA from 1 species
GAUGAAGAACGUAGCGAAAUGCGAUAAGUAGUGUGAAUUGCAGAAUUUAGUGAAUCAUCGAAUCUUUGAACGCACAUUGCGCCCUAUAGUAUUCUGUAGGGCAUGCCUGUUCGAGCGUUAUUGAGACCUCAAGCUCUGCUUGGAAAUGGGCGCUUGUCUUGCCUUGCAGACUCGCCUUAAAACCAUUGGCAGCUGAUUUACAAUGUUUGGUGCACAGUACAUGAGCCCAAGUGUUGCAAUGAGUGGCACAAAAGUAUACAAUAGAAGCUUAACCUCGGAUCAGGUAGGGAUACCCGCUGAACUUAAGCAUAUCAAUAAGCGGAGGA